AUGGACACAGACAGGCAGACAGUAGAACACUGCAUGGGGAAUAUAAUAGAGAUUGAUGGACACAGACAGGCAGACAGUAGAACACUGCAUGGGGAAUAUAACAGCACCAACCUGCAGAGCUGCCUCGUUCUCUCCCAUCAGCUGGUACACUGCACCCAGCGCCGCGCUCGCUUCGCCCUCUAGUGCUCGGUCCUGGGAGGAACAKGUUUAGAAUAAAUAGUGAUAGCAUAUAGAUUACUAAAAUACAGGUAACUGCCAAAGGUUAGUCAUCCCUCCUUCCCUGACUGUCAUUCAUUCAUUGGAGGUAGAAGUCUUACCCCUGAGGUGCAGGCGAUGUUGAGCUGAUGCUCCAGGCAGGACAGGGCUUGCUCAUAAUUUCCCAGCUGGCUGUGUAGGUCUCCCAGCUCCCCAUAGGCCUGGGCCUUCCCCCCUCCUCCUGAUCCGCCUCCUGAUCCACCCAGCUCAUGGGCCACCACCAGUCUCUUCUCAAAACACACCAAAGCCUGCUGGAGACUACCUAGAGAUCUGAGAGGAGUUGUUUUUGUUUACCCCCAUUUCCCUUUUCACAGUUGCUAAUGUAGACCUGCUGCUUGCUGCAUAUGAGUCACUAUUGCAUUCAGAACGAGCCCUACCAAUUAUUUACAUAAAUGCAUUUCAUGAGUCACAACAUAAAACACUCAGCUCUGAAAAUCCAAACAUCAAAAGGCAUCUAGUUUCCCAGAGAGAUAUAUGGGCAACUUAAGAAGGCAAACAAGAAAACAAAUUGGGCAAUAACCACAGGACAUGUUAAUUUAGCUAGUAUGAGAUAUAAUACGUGAUAUCCUUGGGGGAGGAAAUGUAAAAGAGGCCGUGUCUGCAAACUAACACUGUGCUGUGACUUUAUCUGUCUAACUACUGUACGUGACUUGUCCAAUCAUCACUCUGUCAUUCCCUCACCAGGGACCAGCAGAGAAGCAGAGAGAGGAGGGUGAGAGAGAGAGAUAUAAAGACAGGGGAGGGUGAGAGAGAGAUAUAAAGACAGAGGGUGAGGAGAAGAGAAGAAGAGAGAUGAGAGAGGAGAAGAGAGAGAGAGAGGCGCGAAGAUAGAGAGAGAAGGAAGCGAGCGAGGAGAGAUAUAAAGACCGACGAGGGUGAGAGAGAGAGAUCUAAAGACAGAGGAGGGUGAGCGAGAGAUGUAUAAAGACAGAGGAGGGUGGGAGGGGGGGGACAGAACUAGGAGGAGAGGAGGACGGAGAAGAGGAGGAGAGAAUAACGACAGAGGGAGGGUGAGGAGAGAGAGAUAUAAAGACAGAGGAGGGUGAGAGAGAGAGAUAUAAAGACGACGAGGUUGAGGAGAUAUAUAACGCCAGAGUGAGGGUGCGCGAAUAUAAUAAAGAAGCGGAUGGUGAGAGAGAGAGAUAUAAAGACAGAGGAGGGUGAGAGAGAGAGAUAUAAGCAGAGGGGUGAGAGCUAGAGAUAUAAAGACAGCGGAGGUGCGAGAGAGAGAUAUAAAAGACAGAGGAGGGUGAGAGAGAGAGAUAUAAAGACAGAGGAGGGUGAAGAGAGAGAGCUAUAUAAGACAGAGCGGGUGAGAGAGAGAGAUAUAAAGGACAGAGGAGGGU
ensembl:lncRNA